CCUACGGGAGGCAGCAGUGAGGAAUAUUGGUCAAUGGACGAGAGUCUGAACCAGCCAAGUAGCGUGAAGGAUGACUGCCCUAUGGGUUGUAAACUUCUUUUAUAAAGGAAUAAAGUCGGGUAUGGAUACCCGUUUGCAUGUACUUUAUGAAUAAGGAUCGGCUAACUCCGUGCCAGCAGCCGCGGUAAUACGGAGGAUCCGAGCGUUAUCCGGAUUUAUUGGGUUUAAAGGGAGCGUAGGCGGACGCUUAAGUCAGUUGUGAAAGUUUGCGGCUCAACCGUAAAAUUGCAGUUGAUACUGGAUAUCUUGAGUGCAGUUGAGGCAGGCGGAAUUCGUGGUGUAGCGGUGAAAUGCUUAGAUAUCACGAAGAACUCCGAUUGCGAAGGCAGCUCACUAGACUGUCACUGACACUGAUGCUCGAAAG
rnacentral:rRNA from 1 species